UACGGAAGGUCCGGGCGUUAUCCGGAUUUAUUGGGUUUAAAGGGAGCGCAGACGGGCUGUUAAGCGUGACGUGAAAUGCCGGGGCUCAACCUUGGCCUGCGUCGCGAACUGGCGGCCUUGAGUGGACGGUAGGCAGGCGGAAUUCGUGGUGUAGCGGUGAAAUGCUUAGAUAUCACGAAGAACCCCGAUUGCGAAGGCAGCUUGCCGCAGUCUUACUGACGUUCAUGCUCGAAGGUGCGGGUAUCGAACA
rnacentral:rRNA from 1 species